ACCACGCUUCAGAGGGAGGUCUCCUGCAGAAGAGAUGGUCCACCACUUCUUGUCCUUCUAUAUAGGGACAGGGACUCAGCCCAUUCCAGGAGAUGCAAAGAAGGGAGGACAUUCCCCGGGGCUCUCUGUGGAGGGGCAGGAGACAGGAGGGACAGGCAUGUGUUCAUUAAUAGCCGCCUCCGUUGGGUCUAAGAGAAGUCUUUAAUCUAGCAACUUGCAACAAGCAUUAGAGGGAAAAGGCUGGGAGCGGUUGGGAUGGAGAUCCAGCAUGCCAACAGGACAACGUCAGGUGGGCGACACGUCCUUUGAGCCACACACGGGGUCUGCAGAACCCAGAAGAAACGCCUCCCACCUCAACGUGCCUCCUGCUGGUGCUCACCACGGUGCUCGCAAGGCUCCACAGGUUUCAGCUGCGGUGGUUUUGUAACCGGAUCAUCUGUUUCUCAGCCCCUGUGGGUGAGGGGUGCAGUUUCAAGGCAGCUCUCCAGGAAUUUAGCAACAGCGAAUGGGAUCUGGAUGGGACGGCUCAGGUAUCUGAAGGUAUGUCAAGCCUCCACUCAACCAUUUGACAGAGUUUUCCAUUACCUCAUUAAGCUAAGGUUCAUUAGCCUGCUCCCUGCAGAAACUCGAACUCCUAGCAGGGAAUGACGGGUCGUUGUUUGUCGCCAGCACAGUAGCUUCUGGUAUUUGAUGUCUCGCAUUAUUUGAUGCUUUAUUGUUCAUCCACGGUGAACCCAGGCCAGCGUGAUGCGUGCCUCUACAUGCAUCUGUCCUGCUCAAGUCUCAUCCUGCUUCCGAGGAAAGGCAUCCCGGGAUCCUUGAAUAAACUUCCGCCUGUAGCUACACAACGUCUUUGGGCUCAGUUUCUCUCAGUGACUUUUCCUUGUAGGUUAUUUCUUAAACCUGCAGUGUUUCCCUAUUGUAAGUCUUCUCAAGACUCCGGUUCUGCUCUUCUGGCAUUUUUUCCCUCUAGUAUAAUACAAUCCCUAUGAACUCCACCGCCUUCAGUAUCUCAAAUAUUUGCAGUAUCUCUUCUGUGAAAUAUUUUGGAUGUGCAGCACGGCCCCAGGGAGCCCUGGGAAGCACCUCCCAGAUAAGACAUUAGGAGCGCACAUGCAGGAAGGCUUGGUCUGCAUCCAGGCGAACCGGUGAGGAUCCAAAUGGAACAUCCUACAUGGAAACAUCUGACCUAUCUGACCCCUGCCACUUGCUCCAAACCCUCACCCCUGCCAGACAGAGAAGAGCAUGCCCUUUUCACACCAAAUUUAACACAGACAAAAAAAAAAAAAAAAGCUGCUUCUCGUUCCAUCUUGCACAGACCCAUCCCACGGUGCUUUGCUUGGUUUGGCUUAAGGGUGGUUUGGCGGUGACCAAGGGGAUUUUCCAGCCCUCACAUGUACCGCUGCCCGACGGUGCCCACAAAGAACAGAGAUUUUGCUCUCUGCAAGGAGUCCUUGUUUGGAGUUUGUUUUCUUUUCCAUUUUUUUUUAAUUUUAUUUUAUUCUAUCUUUUCUGUGGUUCAGCCCUGAUAAAUGGAUCUGCCCAGCAUGAUUAGGGCAGCUCUGGCCAAGAGCAGGGCAGCACACUUAGAUUUGUGCUCUGCUUGGCCAUGGUUUUCAUUUACCUAGGGCUGGCAGGACAACCCAGAAAUGUUCUCCAGGCUGGCAAAAUCGGGUUGUUUUCGAAAGUGUAAGCUAUGAUUCCCUCGCUAUCUCUCUCAGCUUUGGUUUUCUGAUCCUCAUUAAUUUCUGGGCUCAGUUAGAGACCCAGAUGCCCAUCCUUUCAUCACUCAACAGCCUCCAAUUUGCUGUGCAUGCCUCAAAAGCUUUAUCCUCUUGAGGCAAUUUCUUCUUUCCUCCUGGCACCCCUGCAGCACCGCCCCGGACUCUUCCUUCACCUCUGCACAGCUCCAUGCCUCCAUCUCAGUGCUGUUAACUGUGGCAGAGGGACCUCGUGCACGGAGCAUCCAGCUCUGAGUGCCACGCUAUGCCUGUUGCACUGUCUCCUACAGCAUUCUCCUGGAGAAAAUGGCAGCAUGGUGGGGAUAGGUGUACUCUUCACUGCUGCCCAGAGCGUGGUGGUGAAUGGAGUUCCAUCCAGCUGGCAGCCAGUCACCAGUUGUUUUCCCCAGGCAUCAGUAUUGGGGACAGCCCUGUUUAAUGUCUUUAUUGAUGUUCUGAAUGAGGGAAUGGGUGCAUCCACAGUAAAUUUGCAGACGACACCAAGUAGGGAGGAAGAGCUGAUCUGCGUGAGGGUAGGAAGGCCCCACAGAGGGAUGUGGACAGGCGGAUCAGUGGGCUGAGGCCAAUGGGAUGAGCUGCAACAAGACCAUGUGCCGGGUCCUGCUCUUGGGUCACAGCAGCCCCAUGUGGUGCUACAGGCUUGGGGCAGGUGGCUGGAAGCUGUGUGGAGGAAAAGGACCUGGAGGUGUGAGCUGACAUCUGGUUGAACAUGAGCCAGCAGUGUGCCCAGGUGGCCGAGAAGGCCAAUGGCAUCCUGGCUUGUAUUGGUGGUAGGGGGACUAGAUUAUUUUAGAGGUCUUUUCCAGUCUUAAUGAUUCUCUGAUUCCAUGACAACUCCUUGGGCAUCUUGGCAAAAUAAGUCUGGAGAGACCAGUGGCUUCUAUUGCAUUUUCAUGGGAUGUGGGCCAUGAACUAGAAAUAACCACGCUGAUUCUCAGCCAGCUGCACUGAGGUGGUUCAGGUCAGUGGCCAGCCAUCUCCUCUGAGAGUUGUGUCCCCACUUCAGAUGGAUGAUCCCAACCUCUCCACUGUUCCGUAGCCCAUAUGGAACUCAGUCAGUUCUCGCUGUGAAGUGCUUUCUGUUACAGCGCUGACACAUAUGCGUGGCCUUAUCAGCACAGCCUUCAUGGAUUUGAGGAAGUCUAACUCAAAAUCCUCAGUGUGAGACAUCUGUGUGCUGUCUCAGUGGGAUAUCCAGAAUCCAAGAGCAUUAAAUUCUGGGCUAGUCAUGAUCAAGACCACCACUGUUUUGAAACUAGUUUGUGCAACAUCUGUCCAGAAUAGUUUGAGAUUGCACUGAAGUGCUCUCAGAGGCCCUAUGGCUGAAGAUUAAGCAGGAAUAAAAUGUGCACACCCGUGAUGUAAGAUGAAAGAGAAAGCAUUUCUUCUACAGAGGGGAGGUGUGUAAUUGCAGAGACGUGUACAGGAUCUGGUUUUAAUCCCAUUGGACAGACUGAACACUGUCAAGCGCAAUUUCUAAUCUCAAUCCUGCUCUGCUGCGUUGGAGUAUGGCUGAAGGUGUUUUUCAAGUGUUUGGGAGUCUUUCCAAAGACAACAGUAUCAUCUGGAUAGCAUCAGCCUCCAGGCUGGUUACUGCGAAUGGGACGCUCUUUGAAAAGCCCUCGGUGCUGAUGCAGGGCCAUAUGGCGUGCGUGUAACCUGGGACACAUCCAUCUGUGACACAUGCCAUGAGGUUCCUGCGGCUCUCGUGCCGUGGCUCGAGCGCAUUCAUCCUGUCCGUGCUGCACACGAGUACCGUCCCACCCCCGACCUUUCACACAACUUCUCUGCCCCAUGGAAGUGGUGAGGUGGGUCGCAGAGGAAUCUCUGCUGUCUCUGCAGGCCCUGCCAGGACUCUGCCAACCCCAUUCGUGCUGUGAUUCUUCGAUCCCAUCUGGGAACCUCCACACCGGGAUGGGUAUCAGCAGACACCAAAAAAUAGGGGGUGCCAGAUGUGGGCACCGUGCCUGCCACUGCCCCAUGGUGUGAUGCCCUCCGGCUGUGGGGCUGAGCCUAGCUGGGAGGCAGGGCCAGGCAGCCGCUUCUCACAGGGAGAGUAUCUGCUUCUCUCUAAGCAGCGUUAAAGGAGUUUUUCCUCUGUCCCACUGACACUCCGAGCGUCCUCACAGUUGGCACAGCUGGGCUGCGGCGCGUUCUUGGGUUUCAGUUUUCCUUUUGCUGCUUCUGUAGCCAUUCCAGAGGUGAAGAGGUUUGGAAAAGCUGCGGGUGGAAAUGGAAAAGCGCAGCGAGCACAGAUCCUAGACACUUCUGUGUUUUGUGACCACAAGAAGUGAAAGGGGAGAAAAGAAAAAUGGGAGUACUUUCCUGGCCGGAAACUUCCAGGCUGCAAGCAAGCAGCAAGGAGAUGUUCGAGGAGAUCAGGAAAACCACCAUAAUGGUUUGCAAAGCUUGUUUUCUGACUUGCUGUAGCGCACAGCCUGUCGCUUCAGACAGUUCAGACUCUGGGUCUGGCCAAGAGCAGAGGGGAUCGGCUGCACAACGCCUGGCACUCGCCGUGCAGGAUCAGUUCUGCUUUCCAACCAAGUACGAGGGUUUGAAGCACGGCAUGCAGAGGGAGGUAUAGGGAAGGGCUUAGAUCAAACGCUCAGCCCUCCCUGCGCUGCCUGGGGCAAGCUAGAUGUUGGCACAGCCGCGUGGCUCUGCUGGGAUGCCAGCAAUGCUUGGCGGCAGCGCAAUACGCCUCCAGCCACAAUUAGCCUCGUGUCAUCAGCAUGUCAACCUGCAUUUAGGUACCCGAAACAAAUCACGUCCCAGUAGAGGAGCCAGCUGAUCCCUGCAGUUUUUCCUCGUGUUUACAUGUGUUCUGGUGUCUCUCCUUCCCCCGUGAGUGGCCAAUUCAUCAUUGCAGAGGGGAGGACAAGCGGCAGAGGCGCACACAUGGGCAGCAAAUGCUGCAGCUGCACAGCAGAUGGUCCAGCUCCUGUGGGAGGAGGUUUCAAGAAGUGGGUGCUGGUCCUGCUGUCCCCACCAAAAGGAGGAAAGAGAGCAUCCAAAGCCUCUGAUCUCCAUGCUCCUCUUGGGCUCUGACAGCCCUCAGUUGCUUCUUCCUGCUGGUUUGCACCAGAUGUGGGUGUGCAACAGCAGCCAGAGGAGGAGCUGGAGUUAAGGACCGACAGCUGCAUGGGGAACGGCAACGAUGGCAGCUCAGCAGCUCCAUUCAAGUGCUCAGGGCAGGUCUGAAACAAGCAGAUUUUGCUUUGGGAGAAAUGAAAGCCUGUGAGAGCAUCUCUUUUGGGGUCAGAACUCUUCUCAUUUUCUUCUUCCUUUGAUUUAAUGUCUUGCUAGAGAUUAAUCCCAUUUUAUGAGCAAAAAUCUUGUAUUGAAUUGAUAAAGAUACUGUGAUUUUUUCCCUAACAAGCAAAUUAUCCUUCUCCCAUUGGGUGAUUUUGCAGCUGCACACCCAUCCCACCCAGUGUGCAGGCCCACAAGCAGAGGUGGCAUCAGGUGGCUGCCAAGGGGACAGUCUGGGAGCCCAAUUGGCCAUCUGGGACACCUUGAUCUUCAGGGACAAAUCCUUCAGAGGUGGAGGCUCUGCAAAGGAGUUCUCACACAAAUCAGGGCCAGAGAGAAAGAGUGGUGGAACGCAAGGGAAAAUUCUCCCCUGCUGUUCCUCAUAAUGAAGAGCAGAGCUUUGCCCAGGCCACGGGGCAUGAGGACAGGGCUGAACCAAGCUCAGCAGGGGAUGUGCUCAUAUGGUCCCACUUGGCUGAGCGCUCUGCUAGGGUCACACCAACAGUUUUGGUCAGCCCUUGGGUGACAGCUGUGGUAGGGGGCUGUUGGCUUUCCCUAGAAAGAGGAUGCAGAUGUGCCGUGCUGGGAGAGCUGCUGGAAUCUCCGGAUGGGGACAGGGAUGUGCUGCCAGCCUGAGCCGGUGGGACUCACUGUCCUCCCAGCUCCAUGCUGCUGCCCACAGCCAGAGCUCGGGCGCUUCGGAAAGUAUUUCUGAAUGGUUCCCAGCCAUCGUUCCUAUUUGGUUCUGUUUAAAUUUUUCCUCUAAGACAAUCUCGCUUGUAAUUGUUCUCAGAUUUAGGAAACUGGCUCUUCUUGAGACCUAGAAAGCAGCGCUGCUCACUGGGAUUGUGUUCCACUUGCUGCCGAGCCACGCUUUGCUGGUGCCUCAGGCCUCAGCCAGAGAGCAGCUCCAUUCCUGCUGCCAUGGUGAGGGCCACGCCAGCAUCACCAGAAGCAUUUUGGAUCUAGAAAUCAGCUCUGGCUUCUGGCAAUGCCCCAUGACGGCCAGGAGAGUGCUUGCAUGCUCUGUGUGUGCUUCAGGGCCGCCUGUCCCUGCACCCAGGCAGCUUUGCGCAGUGACCUCUGCCUGAUGAGACCUCUGGAGCCCUCCUUGCUCAGUGGCUCCUGUGCUCCAGGACCUGGAGCUGUGAGGGGAAGCGUGCACUACAGGCACCAGUUUCCUUCCAGCCAGCACCUCCCAGUGGAUACUGGGAAUCAGUUCCCAUUAGCGACUGGGAGCUGGAAGUGGCACAUCACAGUGAUGCAUGCUCCUCCUGGGAGCCCUGGGACAGCAAGAAGAUGCUCACACAGUGCUUCUUACUCAAUGCUGGGGCUACUGGUUUGUCUGCCUGGCCUUUGUCUGGCAAAGUGCAUGAGAACGAGGGCAGAAAGGUGGGAACUGGGGACAGAGGUUGGCUGGGAGAACAAAGAGGAACUGAGCAAGGGGAUGGCAGCAGGAGGGGGUGAUGGAUGAUGAGGAAUUGCCCCAAGGCAGGUGCUGGAGCGGUUCCUCAGGGGCUGGUCCUGGAGCUGUGACCCCACUAUGGGAAUUUUCUGGAGUGGCAGAUGGGAUGGCACGAAAGACAUGGACAAGGAGAUGGGAGAAGCGUUAGGGCAAAGUCAGGUGCCUUGAUCUGCAGAGGGGAUGGAAGGCUCGGCGGGAAGGUAGGACAGCGGGUGGAAGGAGAGCUGGCUUUGAAAGAAGCCUGAAGCACUUGGCUUGUUUAGUCUAGGAAAAUGAUGGCUGGGAGAGAGCUGGUCUAUAAAUACAUCUGGGAGUAAACAGCGGGACGGAGAAGAGCUAUUUAGGCUUGAGGACAGUGCUGGCAGCGCAGCAGAUGGCUAUCAGCUGGCUGCAAACACCGUUACGCUGCGAGAGAGAGCCGGAUCCCCUCCCUGCACAGGCAAAUCGAGAGCCCAGCAACCCCAUCAGUGUGUCUCCCCCAUGGCCCCAAACGUCCCUGUGCCAUGGGGCAGUGGCCAAAGCAGAGACCCUCAGUAGGGUCGCCCAGGGGCAGCCCCACGAGGCCACCACCACCACCACCACCACAGGAGAUGCUCGGGGGCUCUCAGUGCAGCUGAGGUAGAGGCGCCACCACGUUCUGCAGCCACAGAGCAGUGGUGGGGAUGGGAAGCUUUGCGGCUCACCGGAAACUUCCCAAAACAUGUUGGUUGGGAUCCAGCUCAGCCCUAGCACAGAUUAAAAAAAAAAAAAA
ensembl:lncRNA